rnacentral:rRNA from 1 species
AGCUCCAAUAGCGUAUAUUAAAGUUGUUGCAGUUUAAAAAGCUCGUAGUUGGAUUUCGGGGCGGCUCGGUCGGUCCGCCGCGAGGCGAGCACUGGCCGAGCGCCCUUCCUCUCGAAGGCCCCGUCUGCUCUUCGUUGCAGUGGUCGGGGAGUUCGGGACGUUUACUUUGAAAAAAUUAGAGUGUUCAAGGCAGGCCGUCGCCUGAAUAUGUUAGCAUGGAAUAAUGGAAGAGGACCUCGGUCCUAUUUUGUUGGUUUCCAGGGCCGAAGUAAUGAUUGAGAGGGACAGUUGGGGGCAUUCGUAUUUAAUUGUCAGAGGUGAAAUUCUCGGAUUUAUGAAAGACGAACAAGUGCGAAAGCAUUUGCCAAGGAUGUUUUCAUUAAUCAAGAACGAAAGUAGG